UGCGUGCCUCAAGUAUAAAGGACGACUGGUUGACGAAUGCUUAUACGUCUUGAAGUCUUGUUAAGUACGAACCCGUACUUAUUGCUGCUUCUACGGGAUAUAACCGGGCAGGUAUGAAGAUAUGUUCGAUAAAGACGACGCUAGCAAGGUUACCCUUCCGGCUUGGCCUGGGCAGGGUUAUGGACGCCACUGGUUAUCUUCAGGACUCUUAGUCCAAUUUGUAUCUUGUCCGUACUCGGAUGUAUUCGCUCUUCUGUAUGAUUUGGAUCUUUGUAUGUAUCUAUUUGUAUCUUGACUCAUUGGAGUCGUUGUUGUAAUAUAUGUAUCUUGUGGGCUCUAUUGUAAUCCUGAUGUAAUGUUA